GAACAAAUGGCAUAGUGGUAGAGCUUAUUGUUGUUAUUAAUGUGGUCAUGGGUUCAACUUUCAUGACUUUUGUUCU
rnacentral:tRNA from 1 species